UACGUAGGGUGCAAGCGUUAUCCGGAAUUAUUGGGCGUAAAGAGCUCGUAGGCGGUUUGUCGCGUCUGCUGUGAAAACUGGAGGCUCAACCUCCAGCCUGCAGUGGGUACGGGCAGACUAGAGUGCGGUAGGGGAGGAUUGGAAUUCCUGGUGUAGCGGUGGAAUGCGCAGAUAUCAGGAGGAACACCGAUGGCGAAGGCAGAUCUCUGGGCCGUAACUGACGCUGAGGAGCGAAAGCAUGGGGAGCGAACAGG
rnacentral:rRNA from 1 species